rnacentral:rRNA from 1 species
UACGAGUGCCUCAAGCGUUAAUCGGAAUUACUGGGCGUAAAGCGCGCGUAGGUGGUUCGUUAAGUUGGAUGUGAAAGCCCCGGGCUCAACCUGGGAACUGCAUUCAAAACUGUCGAGCUAGAGUAUGGUAGAGGGUGGUGGAAUUUCCUGUGUAGCGGUGAAAUGCGUAGAUAUAGGAAGGAACACCAGUGGCGAAGGCGACCACCUGGACUGAUACUGACACUGAGGUGCGAAAGCGUGGGGAGCAAACAGG